CCUACGGGUUGCAGCAGUGGGGAAUAUUGCACAAUGGGCGCAAGCCUGAUGCAGCCAUGCCGCGUGUAUGAAGAAGGCCUUCGGGUUGUAAAGUACUUUCAGCGGGGAGGAAGGCGAUAGGUUAAUAACCUUGUCGAUUGACGUUACCCGCAGAAGAAGCACCGGCUAACUCCGUGCCAGCAGCCGCGGUAAUACGGAGGGUGCAAGCGUUAAUCGGAAUUACUGGGCGUAAAGCGCACGCAGGCGGUCUGUCAAGUCGGAUGUGAAAUCCCCGGGCUCAACCUGGGAACUGCAUUCGAAACUGGCAGGCUAGAGUCUUGUAGAGGGGGGUAGAAUUCCAGGUGUAGCGGUGAAAUGCGUAGAGAUCUGGAGGAAUACCGGUGGCGAAGGCGGCCCCCUGGACAAAGACUGAUGCUCAGGUGCGAAAGCGUGGGGAGCAAACAGGAUUAGAUACCCGGGUAGUC
rnacentral:rRNA from 1 species